rnacentral:rRNA from 1 species
CAAUAGCGUAUAUUAAAGUUGUUGCAGUUAAAAAGCUCGUAGUUAGAUUUCUGGUAGGAGCGACCGUGCCGAACUUGAUUGUUCGAGUAUUGUGUUGUCUUCAGCCAUCCUCGUGGAGAACUUUUCUAACAUUAACUUGUUGGGAUUGGGACCCGCGUCGUUUACUGUGAAAAAAUUAGAGUGUUUAAAGCAGGCAUUAGCUUGAAUACAUUAGCAUGGAAUAAUAAGAUAGGACUUUGGUACUAUUUUGUUGGUUUGCAUACCAAAUUAAUGAUCAACAGGAACAGUUUGAGGAUAUUCGUAUGAACAUGUCAGAGGUGAAAUUCUUGGAUUUUGAUCAGACGAACUACUGCGAAAGCAUUUGUCAAGGAUGUUUUCAUUAA